GACGAACGCUGGCGGCGUGCUUAACACAUGCAAGUCGAACGGAAAGGCCUGCUUUCCUUUGUGGAUUGCGGGUACUCGAGUGGCGAACGGGUGAGUAACACGUGAGUGAUUUGCCCCCAACUUGGGGAUAAGGCUGGGAAACGGGGUCGAAUUCCCGAUCGGACUGCAGGGUGGUGGCGGUGGUGGAAAACGAUUUUCUAGUGGUAGGGGAUGAGCUCGCGGCGUAUCAGCUUGUUGGUGGGGUAAUGGCCUACCAAGGCGGCGACGGGUAGCCGGCCUGAGAGGGUGGACGGUCGCAUUGGGACUGUGAUACGGCCCAGACUCCUACGGGAGGCAGCAGUGGUGAAUAUUGCCCAAUGAGCGGAAGCCUGAUGCAGCGACGCCGCGUGGGGGAUGACGGCCUUCGGGUUGUAAACUCCUUUCGACCGCGAGGAAGCCACCUGGUUGGAAGGGUGGUGACGGUAGUGGUAGAAGAAGCACCGGCUAACUACGUG
rnacentral:rRNA from 1 species